GGCAAUGGUCAGGUCAAUCUAACAGCUUGGUCUUUAGGCUCAAACUGAAGGAAACAGACAAACAGUUCCUUUCUAUGUGGACUCGUCCAAUAAGGCAGCGUUUCCCAAACUCGGUCCUAGGGCUCCCCCUGGGUACAGGUUUAGGAUUUUGCCGUAGCACGACACAGCUGAUUCAAAUAACCAACUCCUCAUCAAGCUUUGAUGAUUUGAAUCAGUUGUACAAAACCAAAACGUGCUCCCAAGGGGGGCCCCAGGCCCGUAGGUACAAAACGUGCUCCCAAAGGGGGGCCCCAGGCCCGUAGGUACAAAACGUGCUCCCAAAGGGGGGCCCCAGGCCCGUAGGUACAAAACGUGCUCCCAAGGGGGGCCCCAGGCCCGUAGGUACAAAACGUGCUCCCAAGGGGGGCCCCAGGCCCGUAGGUACAAAACGUGCUCCCAAGGGGGGCCCCAGGCCCGUAGGUACAAAACGUGCUCCCAAGGGGGGCCCCAGGCCCGUAGGUACAAAACGUGCUCCCAAGGGGGGCCCCAGGCCCGUAGGUACAAAACGUGCUCCCAAGAGGGGCCCCAGGCCCGUAGGUACAAAACGUGCUCCCAAGGGGGGCCCCAGGCCCGUAGGUACAAAACGUGCUCCCAAGGGGGGCCCCAGGACCGUAGGUACAAAACAUGCUCCCAAGGGGGGCCCCAGCACAGAGUUUGGGAAACCCUGCAAUAAGAAACUAAAUGUGCGUUUACCAUUGCAUGGACUAAUGAACACAACCCUGACCCGACCAAGCAAGCCCUUAAACCAUCCCAUUCAGCCCUUCAACAUUAAACAGUUCCUGCUCCCAGGUCAGACGUUGCA